rnacentral:lncRNA from 1 species
AGGUUAUAUACAAGAAUAAGCCAGUCAUUACAAGGAAAGAUGAGGGCACACAAUCAGAGGUUCUCAAGCUCCCUGGUAUUGUUAAAGAAUCUCAAAUGAUGGAUAAAUCAAAGAUUGUACCAAAGCAAUCCUGUGAAUCCAGAAGAAUUGCACCAAGGCGUGCAGCUAGGAAACCUACUAACCAGCAGAGACCAACAUUUUGUUUUUAGAUCGUCUACUCCAUUUUCUCACAUUCAGAUCACUCAAUUGGAUUGAUUGAACAAUUUUCAGUAUAAAUGCUGAUAAUAGUUUGACCUAUGUAUAGAAUGAUUUAUUUAUAUAUUUUGGUGAAGUUUAUGUUUGAUAUUUUCAGUAUAUAUUUAUAUCUCAGGG